UACGUAGGGUGCGAGCGUUGUCCGGAAUUAUUGGGCGUAAAGAGCUCGUAGGCGGUUUGUCGCGUCUGCUGUGAAAACUCGGGGCUUAACUCCGGGCCCGCAGUGGGUACGGGCAGACUAGAGUGCGGUAGGGGAGACUGGAAUUCCUGGUGUAGCGGUGAAAUGCGCAGAUAUCAGGAGGAACACCGGUGGCGAAGGCGGGUCUCUGGGCCGUAACUGACGCUGAGGAGCGAAAGCGUGGGGAGCGAACAGG
rnacentral:rRNA from 1 species